AUACGGAGGGUGCGAGCGUUGUUCGGAAUUACUGGGCGUAAAGGGCGCGCAGGCGGCUUGAUAAGUCAGAUGUGAAAGCCCACGGCUUAACCGUGGAAGUGCAUCUGAAACUGUCUGGCUUGAGUACUGGAGAGGAAAGUGGAAUUCCUGGUGUAGAGGUGAAAUUCGUAGAUAGCAGGAGGAACACCGGUGGCGAAGGCGACUUUCUGGACAGAUACUGACGCUGAGGCGCGAAAGCGUGGGGAGCAAACAGGAGUAGAAACCCCAGUAGUCC
rnacentral:rRNA from 1 species